GGUUCUAUAGUGUAGCGGUUAUCACUCUGGAUUCUGAAAUUCAGAAAUAUUCCGGCAAACCCGGUUUGAGUCCGGGUAGGACCU